rnacentral:lncRNA from 1 species
GGGUCCUUUUCACUUUCCGUUUUGUUUUUCCAACAGCCACCGAAGUUGCGGGCAGGUAAAACCAGGGACUUCCUCGACCCUGGCUUUGGCCUGCGUCGGAACCGCCAGGCUUGCUGGGAACAGCGCCCAACCGGUUCCUCAAACAGGUUGUGCCACGUGGCCUUGACCCGUGACACCCCUGCAGCUCGCGCCGAUUUGCACUCUCGGAGCGAAUGAGUCUUCUGGGCGGCUUCUCAGCCAGACAGCCCCGAGCGCUAUGCAAACCCAGUCCGACUGGCCUCCGGUGACCGACGACAUCCUGCGGCCUUCGCCUUUUGCGCAUCCUGGGCUGCACACCCUCCAUUGCGUGGCCCGCGUGCUGCUCUUCCCGACCUACUGGGCUCUGGACCAGUUGAUUGGCUGCUGGGCACCAACAGCGCGCCCCAGCAGGCUGAGAGCAGCAGCUGGCGGCGGGGUGGCGCUGCUGCUGCUCCUGCUAGUUGGCCUACCGCUGGCGUUGCCUGGCUUGCUACUCUGGCUGCCGCUGCAGGCCUGUCGCCGCCCCUUCUGCUACCAGCCCCCUCCUCCGUGCUGGGUGCCGCCCACGCCCUGGCGCCCGUGCGCUGAGUUUGCGCGCUGCUUUGUCUUCCUCACUGCCAACCUGUGCCUGCUCCCCGACGGGCUGGCGCGCUUCAGCAAUCUGCCACACAGCCAACAACGCGCAGAGGCCAUUGGCGCUACGCUGUUAAACGGCCUACGGCCCUCGCUUUAUGGAGCUACCGGAUGCAGCCCACAAAGGCUUGGGGAGCCAGGCGGGACGCUGACGGCCCAGAUGCCCGCGGGGCUGGACUUUGUGUGCCUGCAGGAGGUGUUCGAUAUUCGCGCAGCUCGACGCCUGGUGCGCUGCUUGGCUCCGAAUCUGGGCCCGGUGCUGUAUGACGUAGGCACACUUGGCCUACAGCCUGGGCCAUACUUAAAACUGCUAGGCAGCGGGCUCCUGCUGGCUUCCCGCUACCCGCUUCUGCGUGCCAACUUCCGUUGCUUUCCCAAUGCGCGUCGCGAGGACGCCUUUGCCUCCAAGGGUCUACUAUCCGCUCAGGUAUAUUCCCACAGGCUGUGUGCUCUGGCCCUGGAUGGGGUGAGCUGUUGGGCCGAAUGGGCAAUGAAAGCUGGUACUGUCGGUGGUGUUGCAGGUGCAACUGGGCAUCCUGGACGGGCACCGCGUAGUGGGAUUCCUGCAUUGCACGCAUUUACAUGCACCCACUGGUGAGCCCUGUGGGAAGGAUUGUUGGACGGUAGCCAGGCCCUCCUACGGCCCCUCUUUCGCAGCAGGCCUACCCUUAUUUGCACCUCUCUUUCCCACUGCCCACUGUUUUUUGUUCACUGCCCCAGUAAUGGCAACUCCCAAGAAGUGCCUGGGUGGGUGCAGAGACCCCAGUCUAGCGGGAACCAGGUGUCCAGGAUGUGGAUCCUCAACCUGGGCCGAAUAGAAGGCGGCACACCUCUACCCCCACCCUCCACCCCUUCUGUAGAGGAUGGGCUCUUGCGCUGCAAACAGCUGACGCUGCUACUGGACUGGGCAGAGCAGUUUGAGGCCGAGAGCCGCCAGAGUGGUGAGGCUGUGGCCUUUAGUGUGCUUCUGGGUGACCUAAAUUUUGACAACUGCUCAAAAGGUGAGGAGCUUAGCUGGGGGAGGCGAGGCCAAAAGGCCCAGCCCCGCCCACUGAACGCUGGUCUUAUGUGCAGACCACGCACAGGAACAGGGGCACAAACUCUUUCGCUGUUUCCGGGAUCCCUGCCGGCUGAGCACACGCCAGGAUCAGCCUUGGGCCUUGGGUAUGCGUCAGGGGGUUGGUGGGGGAGGGGUGGCCCCUCCAGGGAUUCAUCAGCUAGGCACCUGCUGAUUCAACCACCCCCACCCGCCCCCCACAGGAACCAUCCUAAGCACCUCCACCCUCCACCAAUCAGUAGCUAGCUCACCGGAGAUGCUGCGGAGG